rnacentral:rRNA from 1 species
UACGUAGGGCGCGAGCGUUGUCCGGAAUUAUUGGGCGUAAAGAGCGCGUAGGCGGCUUGUUGCGUCUGCCGUGAAAGCCCGUGGCUUAACUACGGGUCUGCGGUGGAUACGGGCAGGCUAGAGGCUGGUAGGGGCAAGCGGAAUUCCUGGUGUAGCGGUGAAAUGCGUAGAUAUCGAGAGGAACACCUGCGGCGAAGGCGGGUUGCUGGGCUGACACUGACGCUGACACUGCGAAAGCUAGGGGAGCGAACGGG